rnacentral:misc_RNA from 1 species
GCUUGCCACAACAUAAAAAUCGAACAUCAGCAGACACUACUUAUGGCAUGCUUUGCUUAGGCUUGGGAAAGAUGUUGCUGCAGCAUUGAGAUCAGUGGUGGGGCAAGGAACGGAGGCAACAUUGAGAUUGCCGUUGGAGCUUGCAUUCGAUAACUCAUUACGUGCAGAUCGGAGGGCUUGGCUCACUAUCGUCAGGUCAGAUGUUGGUUCGCCAUCUUCAAAUGUUGAAUCUCCAUCAGAUGUUGGUACGCCGUCUUCAGAUGUUGAAUCUCCAUGGUCAGUUUCGCUAUCUUCAGAUCUUGAACUUCCUUGGUGAGAUUCAUGUUCU